rnacentral:rRNA from 1 species
GACGAACGCUGGCGGCGUGCUUAACACAUGCAAGUCGAACGGUGAAGGAGAGCUUGCUCUCCGGAUCAGUGGCGAACGGGUGAGUAACACGUGGGCAACCUGCCCCAGACUUCGGGAUAACGCUUCGAAAGAGGUGCUAAUACCGGAUACGAACUCCUUGGGCAUCCUUGGAGUUGGAAAGUUUUUCGGUCUGGGAUGGGCCCGCGGCCUAUCAGCUUGUUGGGGAGGUAACGGCUCACCAAGGCGACGACGGGUAGCCGGCCUGAGAGGGCGACCGGCCACACUGGGACUGAGACACGGCCCAGACUCCUACGGGAGGCAGCAGUGGGGAAUAUUGCGCAAUGGGCGAAAGCCUGACGCAGCAACGCCGCGUGAGGGAUGACGGCCUUCGGGUUGUAAACCUCUUUCAGCAGGGAAGAAGCGAAAGUGACGGUACCUGCAGAAGAAGCACCGGCUAACUACGUGCCAGCCGCCGCAGUAAAAC